rnacentral:misc_RNA from 1 species
CGAAACCGAAACCCCGGCGACAGAGCCGGAAGCGUUUUGCAGCCGCCCUUUAUCAGCGAAGCGUGUGCAACAGUUCCACUUCCGUAUUCCCCCCCACUCGCUCCGCGGGUGUCUUGUCAGCUGGGGGAUGCCUCCGCUGGUCGCCGAGUUCUUUGCACCGCUAGCACCGCCGCGUCGCCGAUAGCAGUGCGCCCCGCACCCCAAGAACACGUUUCCCCGGUGCGUGUGUCCAAUGCGUCUCGCCGAGAGCCCGCAAGCCGGCCAAGACUGUCGACCACGCCAGCGUCCCGCCGCUGCCCCGGCUGUUGUCGGGGCGACAACUCCGCGGCGUGCGGAGUCUUCCUUACUCGCCGACAGCACCGACAGAUGAGCGUCAUCGAGCCGAGAUCGUCGUCGCAGUGACCGCUGUCACCGUCGGAAGCAUGGCAACCGCUCUGGAGCGAAAUCUGGUGCUCGGGGGGACUCUGAAGCAGCGCUGCAGAGCGCUGCUUCCGACGAGAGGCAUCGCGUACUCGUCGAAAGGAGCCGCCGAGGCGAGCCCGCAACCCAGAGACAAAUCGCGGACCGUGCAGUCUUUCUACAACCAGUCCGCGAUCGACGUUGCUGCUGCCAAGCCCUCUGUUCGUCUGACACCCACCACCAUACUAUAUUCUGGCAAGUCACCUGAUGGCAGCCACCUUCUGCGCAGUGCCCAAUACUUGCACAAGGAGCUUCCCGUGCGCAUUGCACACCGCAUCGCCGGCUUCCGCAGCCUUCCCUUCAUCGUCGGGUGCAACCCCACCAUCCUGGCCGUGCAUGAGCUCUACACUCAAACGUUUUACCUCCUGACCGAUUUUCCUCCGGUGACGGACUUUGAGUCCGAGAGCCGCUACUCGGAGACGGUGCAGCAGGUCCUGGACGAUCACAAGGACGUGGUGACGCAGCUGGCGGCCGGCUUCAAGGAGUGCCGCAAGCACAUCAAGCAAGAAGAGCUGGUGAAGACGUUCCUGGACCGCACCUUGACGUCGCGGCUGGGGAUGCGGAUGCUGGCGGAGCACCACAUCGCGCUGCGCCAGGACAGGCCCAACCAUGUGGGGAUCAUCAACACGGCAAUGCGUCCCAAGGAAGUGAUCGAGAAAUGGGCAGACUUUGUCAAACAGGUGGCGGUGCACAAGUAUGGCAAGUCGCCUCCCAUCAAGUACAACGGCCACCUGACAUGCAGCUUCCCCUACAUCCAGUUGCCCCUGGACUACAUUAUUCCAGAGCUGCUCAAGAACGCAGUCAGGGCCACGGUGGAGAACCACCCGGACAACCCAGAGUCGAGCCUGCCCCCGGUGACGGUCACCAUAGCCAACAACGACGUGGACUUCAUCAUCAGGAUCUCCGACCGGGGCGGCGGCAUCGAGCACGAGCACCUGGGGCAGAUCAUGCAAUACCAUUUCUCGACGGCCAGCUCAUACGAGGGGCAGUACGACGGUGGCCUGCUGGGCACGAUGAUGACGCAGCCAAUGGACGGCCCCGCAGGGGGCCCCAUGCACGGGUUCGGCUUUGGACUGCCGACGUCGCGCGCCUACGCCGAGUACCUCGGCGGCACCCUCACCUUCGAGACGCUCCAGGGUAUCGGGACGGACGUGUACCUGAGGCUGCGCCACAUCGACGGCAAAUACGAGAGCUUCCGCAUCUGAGGCCCCACAGUCCUUGGGGGUGGCCGGCGCGGCCCCGUACCAGACGUCGUUGCCGUCGACUGCCACCUGUCGGCAUUUUUACAUCCGCUUUUUUCCUCUUUUUUGUUGUCUUGCGUGUGCGUGUUAAUGCCCGAGUCCCACUAGAGCGACAAACAAAAACAAUUGAAACUGAGAAGCCUUUAACACAUGCAGCAUGUUCGCAAUGGUACCUUUGGCUGGUUUUGAGUCGUUCGGUACUCGUGAAGUAAUCACGAGUGAUUGGGAGCCUGCCAAAGAUACCCUCAAGUUUGCGCAUAGCACCCUUUAUUUUAUCUAAGAGCUUGUCAAAUCGCGAAAGAAUCGGGUUUGAGGAUUGUCGCUGUCGGUUGUUUCUGUUUGUUGCUCUAGUGGGACUUGGGCAUUGGGAUGCAAGCUCCGACGAAGGUGUGCGAGGGUUGGAGGAGGGAAGUGGUUUAGGGGGCGGUACUUUCCUAGUCAUGUGGGGAAGUUGAGGCUCUUCUUUUGCGCCCGGUGAGCUUCGCUGUACACAAUACGCGGGCCGGCACAUCGGCGGUUUCGAGGCCACCUGUGGUUUUGGCUGUGUGCUUCUGAGACGUCGUCGUCUUCAUUUCUGAGGGUGGCGAGUCAGAUGUUGGAAAGUGCUCAAGUGCCUGUCUCAUUGCGACGCAAGGGAGGAGAGUUUUGAAUGAGUGGCUGGAGUUUGACUGGUUUAAUUGUGGAUGGCCGGAGCUGAACUGUACAUAAUGGGAGGUUUUUUUUUGUUUUUUUUUUGAGGGGCAGGGAGUGCUUGCACGUCCCGUACAGCCUUCUCGAGCGAUGGCGAAUUUUUUUUUUUAUUGUAAUUGACGUUUCCAUUGUCUGUGAGUGAGGAAUGGGUUCCUCUAGCCGGUGCAAAGGACGUGCUUUCUGUGCUGUUGCUGAAUAAAUGAGACAAUUGUAAAUCUCAGCCACAAGAACUUGCAUUUUCAGCUGUAUCUUUUCUGUCCUUUUUGCUUUUUGUCCCGUUUCCAAAACCAGUUGCUUCCGCUUUGGUUUCUUUGCUUUUAUUUUGUUUCCAGUCAGCCUAGGAGCUCGUUUAACGCAGGGUAAUAUAUAAUUAUUUUUGCUCGCUGUGAGUUGGAGGCGCAGUGGUAGCAGCUUUUUAUGCUUGUGAUAAUCACAUUAGUUUUUUUUUCUUUCUUUUUGCUAUUAAAUGGUACGCUUACUUGACCAGUCGGCAAAUAUUUCUGGCGGUGCAGCAUUAUCUCCUGGGGAAUCUCCAGUGCCCAAGGCACACUUCCAAAUAUGUCUGGAGGCGUUGUGUUUCACGGUUUGUUUUUUUGUCUCGGGUUGUCACAACAGCUUUUCUGACGAAUUCUUGACAGUAUAUACGGAUUUAUAACUGCAAUAAGCGGUGAUGUGGCCAGCAGGAUAAGCUGCCGACCCAAUUUAGAUGUAAUCAACUCUUAUUUUGUAUGCCUGCCUCGUUUGUACUGCAAUGACAAGACUCACUAUUACUACCAUAGUAAUUGCUUUGUUAAUUACACAAUUUUAUGACCAGGAAAGGGUAGAGUUUAUAAGAGUGCAAUGGUUGUGUCUGAUAGCCUUUGCAUCAGUAUCUGUCAGAUUGUUUUUUUCUUAAUUUUAGAAGUGAAAUGCAAUGCAACAUUAAUAAAAUUAUUGUUACUGGG